rnacentral:hammerhead_ribozyme from 1 species
GUACUGCUGAAGAGUCCCAAACCAGGACGAAAAAAACGUCUAGUAC